AUCUUCAGUUUUGAGAGACUUAAGAAAGUUUUUCAUUGUCACUUGCUUGCAAAUUGUAUUUGCAACAUUUUAAUCUUUUUAAGAUUAAGGGCCUAUAGCUCAGUUGGUUAGAGCACACGCCUGAUAAGCGUGAGGUCGGUGGUUCAAGUCCAUUUAGGCCCACCAUAACCACAAAUAGGCAAAAUCUUAAAAAAGCUCUU
rnacentral:misc_RNA from 1 species